rnacentral:rRNA from 1 species
CAGAUACCGCCCUAGUUCUGACCGUAAACGAUGCCAACUAGCGAUCCGCCAGUCGACUCAUCGCUCUGGUGGGGAGCUUCCCGGAAACGAAAGUCUUCCGGUUCCGGGGGAAGUAUGGUUGCAAAGCUGAAACUUAAAGGAAUUGACGGAAGGGCACCACCAGGAGUGGAGCCUGCGGCUUAAUUUGACUCAACACGGGGAAACUCACCCGGCCCGGACACCGUAAGGAUUGACAGAUUGAUAGCUUUUUCAUGAUUCGGUGGAUGGUGGUGCAUGGCCGUUCUUAGUUCGUGGAGCGAUUUGUCUGGUUUAUUCCGAUAACGAGCGAGACUCUGGCCUACUAAAUAGUUGGCACAUUGCCACUGUGUGCCCAACUUCUUAGAGGGAUUUUCGGUGUUCAGCCGCACGAAAUUGAGCAAUAACAGGUCUGUGAUGCCCUUAGAUGUCCGGGGCUGCACGCGCGCUACACUGGCAAAAUCAGCGUGCUUGUCCUCCCCCGAAAGGGGUUGGUAAACCGAUGAAAAUUUGCCGUGAUUGGGAUCGGACAUUGCAAUUAUUGUCCGUGAACGAGGAAUCCCUUGUAAGGGCGAGUCAUCAACUCGUCCUGAAUACGUCCCUGCCCUUUGUA